GAUGAACGCUGGCGGCGUGCCUAAUACAUGCAAGCCGAGCGAACGGACGAGAAGCUUGCUUUUCUGAUGUUAGCGGCGGACGGGUGAGUAACACGUGGAUAACCUACCUAUAAGACUGGGAUAACUUCGGGAAACCGGAGCUAAUACCGGAUAAUAUUUUGAACCGCAUGGUUCAAAAGUGAAAGACGGUCUUGCUGUCACUUAUAGAUGGAUCCGCGCUGCAUUAGCUAGUUGGUAAGGUAACGGCUUACCAAGGCAACGAUGCAUAGCCGACCUGAGAGGGUGAUCGGCCACACUGGAACUGAGACACGGUCCAGACUCCUACGGGAGGCAGCAGUAGGGAAUCUUCCGCAAUGGGCGAAAGCCUGACGGAGCAACGCCGCGUGAGUGAUGAAGGUCUUCGGAUCGUAAAACUCUGUUAUUAGGGAAGAACAUAUGUGUAAGUAACUGUGCACAUCUUGACGGUACCUAAUCAGAAAGCCACGGCUAACUACG
rnacentral:rRNA from 1 species